AAAAUCGGUAUGGAGACAUCUGUACUUAUCUUCCAGAGGCUCUAGGGAUUUAGAAAAUUUUUACUUCAUUCUCUCUCCAUCGUGCAAUUUUAUUCUAUUAUUGAGCUUGAACCAUUAUAUUGUUAUCGCAAAUGGAGAGGACGAGGCUAUUCCUCACUUUUCCAACUUAUCAAACUCCCUCAUUUUCACUCUUAAGUACAAGCAUCAAGGUAUGGAGGCUUAAUCUUUGGGCUCUUUAUGUUCUAUUGCAUCAUCUUCUUCUUCUUCUCUCCUUUAUCUCUCAACAGCUAGGUUUCGAAUGGGUUUUUUUUCCAGAAAUUGUUUGAAAGUUUUUUAAAUUGUGUAUUGAUUUCUGGGUGAGGUUGGUUGAGAGUGUAAACUUAUUCAUUCGCUAUAAAAAUGGGGAAGUUUGAGUACCCAUGGCCUUGUUGAAAUUGGAGAUAUUUUGUGUGCUUGCUAUGUGUUCGAUGAAAGGCCCAG
rnacentral:lncRNA from 1 species